GGUAGCGUAGCUGAGCGGUCCAAGGCACUGGUUUAAGGUACAAGUCACUUCAGAUAUAUGGAUUCGAAUUCCACCGCUGCCA